AGAGGGUGCGAGCGUUGUCCGGAAUUACUGGGCGUAAAGGGCGCGUAGGCGGCUUGAUAAGUAGGGGGUGAAAUUCCAUGGCUCAACCAUGGAUCGGCCUUCUAGACUGUCAGGCUUGAGCACGGUAGAGGCAGAUGGAAUUCCCGGUGUAGCGGUGGAAUGCGUAGAGAUCGGGAAGAACACCAGUGGCGAAGGCGGUCUGCUGGGCCGUUGCUGACGCUGAGGCGCGACAGCGUGGGGAGCAAACAGGAUUAGAUACCCUGGUAGUCCACGCCGUAAACGAUGGGCACUAGGCGUCGGGGGAGCGACCCUCCCGGUGCCGUAGCUAACGCUCUAAGUGCCCCGCCUGGGGAGUACGGCCGCAAGGCUG
rnacentral:rRNA from 1 species